rnacentral:tRNA from 1 species
UCCAGUGUAGCUCAGCGGUAGAGCGACCGGCUGUUAACCGGUUGGCCGUAGGUUCGAAUCCUACCACUGGAGCCA